rnacentral:rRNA from 1 species
AACGAACGCUGGCGGCAUGCCUAACACAUGCAAGUCGAACGAGACCUUCGGGUCUAGUGGCGCACGGGUGCGUAACGCGUGGGAAUCUGCCCUUGGGUUCGGAAUAACUCGCCGAAAGGCGUGCUAAUACCGGAUGAUGUCGUAAGACCAAAGAUUUAUCGCCCAGGGAUGAGCCCGCGUAAGAUUAGGUAGUUGGUGAGGUAAAGGCUCACCAAGCCGACGAUCUUUAGCUGGUCUGAGAGGAUGAUCAGCCACAAGGGGACUGAGACACGGCCCUU